CUUGCUCCCUGAUGUUAGCGGCGGACGGGUGAGUAACACGUGGGUAACCUGCCUGUAAGACUGGGAUAACUCCGGGAAACCGGGGCUAAUACCGGAUGGUUGUCUGAACCGCAUGGUUCAGACAUAAAAGGUGGCUUCGGCUACCACUUACAGAUGGACCCGCGGCGCAUUAGCUAGUUGGUGAGGUAACGGCUCACCAAGGCGACGAUGCGUAGCCGACCUGAGAGGGUGAUCGGCCACACUGGGACUGAGACACGGCCCAGACUCCUACGGGAGGCAGCAGUAGGGAAUCUUCCGCAAUGGACGAAAGUCUGACGGAGCAACGCCGCGUGAGUGAUGAAGGUUUUCGGAUCGUAAAGCUCUGUUGUUAGGGAAGAACAAGUGCCGUUCAAAUAGGGCGGCACCUUGACGGUACCUAACCAGAAAGCCACGGCUAACUACGUGCCAGCAGCCGCGGUAAUACGUAGGUGGCAAGCGUUGUCCGGAAUUAUUGGGCGUAAAGGGCUCGCAGGCGGUUUCUUAAGUCUGAUGUGAAAGCCCCCGGCUCAACCGGGGAGGGUCAUUGGAAACUGGGGAACUUGAGUGCAGAAGAGGAGAGUGGAAUUCCACGUGUAGCGGUGAAAUGCGUAGAGAUGUGGAGGAACACCAGUGGCGAAGGCGACUCUCUGGUCUGUAACUGACGCUGAGGAGCGAAAGCGUGGGGAGCGAACAGGAUUAGAUACCCUGGUAGUCCACGCCGUAAACGAUGAGUGCUAAGUGGUUAGGGGGUUUCCGCCCCUUAGUGCUGCAGCUAACGCAUUAAGCACUCCGCCUGGGGGAGUACGGUCGCAAGACUGAAACUCAAGGGAAAUUGACGGGGGCCCGCACAAG
rnacentral:rRNA from 1 species